rnacentral:lncRNA from 1 species
GGCUCCCCAACCAGAACAUUUGUGUCUCACACCUUCUCAGAAUAGUCCCUCUCGUCUUUUUUCAGGCUUUGCACUUCUUCUGGUACAGGGGAUCACAGAAGAGGAGAGGCUGGAGAGCUGUGAAAGGGUCUCCCACCAGGGCUGUAAGAGCUAAAAGGAAAGAGCUGCACUUUCCCCACCAGUGAACAUUGGGAUGGCUACCACCAUUGUAUUACCUGAUGUAUGGAGUUUCAUGCACUGGCAGUGAGGUUAAGACUGAGUUUCUCAGUGGAGAACAGGCUACCUAUGUCCAGAACAACUCAGCAGCUGGUGAAUAUAAAGCCAGGAGCUGUCAGAAAAUGCUGAGCAGAGGUGAUGUUGGACUGUCUCGCAAAUGGUAACUCCCACGUUUAAGGAGAAUGCUCUUAAUGAACUGCCUUUAAAAAGAAAAAACACAUACAGAGGAGAUGGAAAGUCUCCCUGGAGAGUCUCAGGAGAUGCCCAGAAGACAUCUCCAGGGUCACGUAAUUCUUUGAAUCCUACCCAACUUUUGCUGAAGUUAAUUGAAAAAACUCCCAUUGACUUGAAGAGGUUUUGGAUCUGGCUCAAAGUGCUCUCCGUGGCAGCAGAUUGCAAGAAGGAACCCCACUGUGCAAUUCCAGCCAUCUGCCUAUGGAUAAGGCUUGAUGAUACAAAUGUGUUUGCUUGGAACAUGCAGUAAGGCACUUCGCUUCCAAUUAGGCAGUGCUUCAGACCGAAGGAGAUCUCUGCCUCUCACCUGUGGCCUCUCUUAUCUAAGAUCUACUCUGACCUGGUGAUCUUUAAAGUAGCAAUAUAAGCUGAUGCACAGCAAUAUCACAAGUUGCUUAUCUCUGCUUUGCUUAUGUAAAAAGGUAACCUAGUGCUAGGUUAAGCUCACGUUGAGAUUCCUGCAACUCAGCUGGUUGGGUGUAGUGCUGUUUGCUUGAGACAGGACAAAAUGUCCCUGCUUACAUCUCAAACCUGAGCUUAGUGAUAUCAUUGUCAUUAUCAAUCUUUUACUGUAUCAACCGUGGGAUUAGAAAAGGGAACUGUUUCAGAAACAAAGCAAAGG